UGCCACAGUCAUAUCACCCUGCAGCCCAAGACUGGUUACUCACUGAAGCUAAGCAGGGCUGAGCCCAGUCAGUAGCUGGAUGGGAGACCACAUGGGAAGCCAGCAGGGUGUGCUUA
ensembl:rRNA 5S_rRNA 5S ribosomal RNA